AUCCGGAGGGUCUAAGCGUUAUCCGGACUCAUUGGGUUUAAAGGGUCCGUAGGCGGGGUAAUAAGUCAGGGGUGAAAUCCCACAGCUUAACUGUGGAACUGCCCUUGAUACUGUUGGUCUUGGGUUACAGUGAAGUGGUUAGAAUGUGUAGUGUAGCGGUGAAAUGCAUAGAGAUUACACAGAAUACCGAUUGCGAAGGCAGAUCACUAACUGUAUACUGACGCUAAUGGACGAAAGCGUGGGGAGCGAACAGGAUUAGAAACCCGAGUAGUCC
rnacentral:rRNA from 1 species